AUUGAACGCUGGCGGCAUGCCUUACACAUGCAAGUCGAACGGUAACGGGUCCUUCGGGAUGCCGACGAGUGGCGAACGGGUGAGUAAUAUAUCGGAACGUGCCCAGUAGUGGGGGAUAACUGCUCGAAAGAGCAGCUAAUAACGCAUACGACCUGAGGGUGAAAGGGGGGGAUCGCAAGACCUCUCGCUAUUGGAGCGGACGAUAUCAGAUUAGCUAGUUGGUGGGGUAAAGGCCUACCAAGGCAACGAUCUGUAGUUGCUCGGAGAUGACGACCAGCCACACUGGGACUGAGACACGGCCCAGACUCCUACGGGAGGCAGCAGUGGGGAAUUUUGGACAAUGGGCGCAAGCCUGAUCCAGCAAUGCCGCGUGCAGGAAGAAGGCCUUCGGUUUGUAAACUGCUUUUGUCAGGGAAGAAAUCUGCUGGGCUAAUACCCCGGGAGGAUGACGGUACCUGAAGAAUAAGCACCGGCUAACUACGUGCCAGCCGCCGCAGUAA
rnacentral:rRNA from 1 species